AGAGAAGAGUACAAUGUAUCAGUUGAGUACUAAACAUUGGCUAUUUGUAUAAUGAAAAAGUACAGAGAGUUCCAUUUAUGUUUGUCCUUUUAUUGAAAAUUGCUACAACCUGGUCAAAAAAUUCUCUCUGUGUGGCAGGAUAUCUGCCAGUGAAUGAGUCUGUUGAAAUCACCACACCAAAUUCAACAUUAAGGGCCAACCCUGACCACAGCUGAGCCGUGUGAAGAGGCUGACAGCGGCGUGGCCACCACCCAGGAUGGAGAGAAAGGCACUGUGAGGUGUUAAUGGAAAAAUCCAACUUCCUUUUCUUCCAAAGAUGAUGACUGAAACCAAAGUGGAGCUUUCCCUGAAACUUUCUGAGAUGCAAGUGGGUGUUAAAUGGUUCAGCAAAGCCAAGCCAGAGCAGUUGGUGUGCUUUGAAAUGAAGCAACAUUGGAAAAAUGAAAUCUACUGAAAGAUCACUACGUGUUUCAAAGGCCUUCAGACUCAGACUGGAACUGCACCGUUGGCUCUCCUGGGUGGGUCUCCAGCUUGCUGACCACAGACCUUGAGACUUCUCAGCCUUUAGAAUCAUGGAAGCCAAUUCCUUAUAAUAAUAUAUAUCCUUUUCCUAGUCUGUGGACUUUUCCCAGCUCCAGACAGACAACCUUCUAUAAACUCCAGGAUGCUCCAUCAAUGCCGUCUGGACUCUACAGAUUUUGACCCUGAAGUAAAGUAGGAAAGGCUAUGAGGACAUGUUAAAUGUUGUACUACCGCCUGAAGCCUUUUCUUCUUUAAAUUUUUCAACAAGAGUUGAAUGCACACGUGGAGCUUAAUUGGACAACAACUUUUCUCCUCUUCUGUGGGAUCCCGUCAGUGCUUUAAGCAAUGAGAAGGCAGCUCAUUUCCAAGUUUGUGUGGUAAAUUUGGGGCAAGUGGGAGAAAAGAAAGAAAGGCUGAGUCUUAUAGGGUGUGAUUUGGUUCUAGACAUGCUUAUGUUACUUUUUAUAAGAUUAUCCAUUUGACUAGAUUUCUUUCCUGCUGACAAAAGAGGCAAUUUCUACAUAUAAAAUAAAUCUGAUUAAAACUCUUUCUCUGUUCCUGUCAAGGUAAUAGAUGCAGACCCCAGGAACAGAAUAUAUUUGGAUUCCUAGUGUGUGCAAAUGAUUGUUUAUGUGAUAUCUGGUGCCAAGACCCACAGACGGCUCCUGUACUGCCCUGUAAAAAUAACGGGAAUGGAAAGCUUUUCCUUAGGCAUAAAAAGUUAAUUUUAUUUCUUAUUCUCUUUCACAGCGGUAACUAUUACUUUGUAAUUUUCCUGGUAUUUUGUUGGCAGCCAAAAAUAACACAAGUAAUAGUCCUUGCCUACAAUAUGCAGCUCCGAUUCAUUUUGCUUAGCUCAAGUUGCCUCCUAUAAUAAAGGUGGUGGCACUAGACCUUAAGCAUAGGUCUAAACUAGAGCAAAUUUCUUAAGCCCGUUUUUAAUCAGAAAGGCAGAACAAGUUCAAAUCCUUUCCAUUCCUUUAUCCUAGUAGGGUUUUUAGAACACACCAAAUAGCAAGAAAUGAAUGCAGCUUUAGUAAUUAACAUUGAUAACUCUUCUCAGCCUCCAACUGAGUGAACAGCCUCUUUCAGGCCAGUCAAGAACCAUUCUGUAUAAUCCUAUCUGCAUGUUAUCUUGACAGUGGGAGAUAGUGAGUCAUAGACAAAGGCCAAGGUGUUGGGCCUGAGCUAACCAAGUGCGUUGAGAAUGGAGGCAGUCUCCCAGGAUCUGGGACAGGUGUGAGGAGCCACCAGGAGCCAGGGACCAUUAAGUGGAUGGGUUAGUCAAAGCAUUACUUCAUAAAUCCAGGCGGCCACAGAGGUCUGCGUAUUUACAGACACCACUUGUCAAGAGAAGUGGCAGCCUUGAAACCAGAAGGCACAAACACUGAAAAA
ensembl:lncRNA LINC02997 long intergenic non-protein coding RNA 2997